GAUGAACGCUGGCGGCGUGCCUAAUACAUGCAAGUCGAGCGAACGGACGAGAAGCUUGCUUCUCUGAUGUUAGCGGCGGACGGGUGAGUAACACGUGGAUAACCUACCUAUAAGACUGGGAUAACUUCGGGAAACCGGAGCUAAUACCGGAUAAUAUUUUGAACCGCAUGGUUCAAAAGUGAAAGACGGUCUUGCUGUCACUUAUAGAUGGAUCCGCGCUGCAUUAGCUAGUUGGUAAGGUAACGGCUUACCAAGGCAACGAUGCAUAGUCGACCUGAGAGGGUGAUCGGCCACACUGGAACUGAGACACGGUCCAGACUCCUACGGGCGGCAGCAGUAGGGAAUCUUCCGCAAUGGGCGAAAGCCUGACGGAGCAACGCCGCGUGAGUGAUGAAGGUCUUCGGAUCGUAAAACUCUGUUAUUAGGGAAGAACAUAUGUGUAAGUAACUGUGCACAUCUUGACGGUACCUAAUCAGAAAGCCACGGCUAACUACGUG
rnacentral:rRNA from 1 species